rnacentral:rRNA from 1 species
AGUUCUUCGGAGCUUGAGACCGGCGCACGGGUGCGUAACGCGUAUGCAAUCUACCUUUUACAGAGGGAUAGCCCAGAGAAAUUUGGAUUAAUACCUCAUAGUAUAAUUGAAUGGCAUCAUUUAAUUAUUAAAGUCACAACGGUAAAAGAUGAGCAUGCGUCCCAUUAGCUAGUUGGUAAGGUAACGGCUUACCAAGGCUACGAUGGGUAGGGGUCCUGAGAGGGAGAUCCCCCACACUGGUACUGAGACACGGACCAGACUCCUACGGGAGGCAGCAGUGAGGAAUAUUGGACAAUGGGCGCAAGCCUGAUCCAGCCAUGCCGCGUGCAGGAUGACGGUCCUAUGGAUUGUAAACUGCUUUUGUACAGGAAGAAACACUGGUUCGUGAACCAGCUUGACGGUACUGUAAGAAUAAGGAUCGGCUAACUCCGUGCCAGCAGCCGCGGUAAUACGGAGGAUCCAAGCGUUAUCCGGAAUCAUUGGGUUUAAAGGGUCCGUAGGCGGUUUGGUAAGUCAGUGGUGAAAGCCCAUCGCUCAACGGUGGAACGGCCAUUGAUACUGCUAGACUUGAAUUAUUAGGAAGUAACUAGAAUAUGUAGUGUAGCGGUGAAAUGCUUAGAGAUUACAUGGAAUACCAAUUGCGAAGGCAGGUUACUACUAAUAUAUUGACGCUGAUGGACGAAAGCGUGGGUAGCGAACAGGAUUAGAUACCCUGGUAGUCCACGCCGUAAACGAUGGAUACUAGCUGUUGGGCGCAAGUUCAGUGGCUAAGCGAAAGUGAUAAGUAUCCCACCUGGGGAGUACGUUCGCAAGAAUGAAACUCAAAGGAAUUGACGGGGGCCCGCACAAGCGGUGGAGCAUGUGGUUUAAUUCGAUGAUACGCGAGGAACCUUACCAAGGCUUAAAUGUAGAUUGACCGGUUUGGAAACAGACUUUUCGCA